AGGCAUCUCUAAUAAUUAAAAUGAAAUACAUCUCUCAGGGUAAAAACAGAACUAUGAUAAUUAACGCAGGCAUUUAGACUUGCUACAGGUUGCACAAGACUUCCUGAAAAUGAAACAGAAGUGAGUCACUCUUUCAAAACGUAAGCAGAAGAGUUACUCAUAUUCAACCAGAGUGCUCUUGCUUCAGAUUAACCGACCUUCUGCCUGUGGUUUCAGUGAAAUCCGACAAUAGUUGCUGCAAAGACUCACCAAAUGGCAACAAGACAGAGGGAAACUCUGAUCCUUCACUUCUUAAGGAUAGUUUUGGCAUUGCCACUGAAAACAAGUGGUACAGCAACAUUUGGCCGUGUUGACGGUAUAAUUGAAGUGACAACUGGUGUGAUCAAAGGAAAUCUCACUGAAGUCCAGCUACCAACAGUCACUUACAAUCAGAAAUCCCCUCUGAAUAUCACAGAAGAGAUCAAGAAGGCUCAAGCAACAACCGGCUUCAUAGAUACCCUGAAAAUGAAUUCAGGAAUGACAAACACCAAAAAAGUAACUGAAAGCAUUACAUCUCCAGUGUUCACAAGAUCCACAAAAAAACAGGACAUGGAACAAACACUCCUAACCUCUACUACUAGAAUUACCCAUUUAUCUACAGAGUCGAAGCUCAUUUCUACCGCAACCACAUCUUCAACCUCAUCUCUUGAAAACAAACCUAUAAACAUAGGUGAGGAUGCCACACAGUUCACUGUCUCAUACAAAUCUUCAAGAGUUAAUAUCCUAACUGAGCCAAAUAAAAUCCAACAACCUCCAGCAGAAAACUCCAGUAACGUAUCAAUUCACAGUCUAGUAGUGGCAGGACUAAUAGGUGUGGCUCUGGUAUCAAUGAUGGUUGGAAUCUUGGUCAUCUUUGUGAAAAAACGCAAACUUCAGAAAGAGCAGAUAACCACAACUGAAUGGGCAGGUCCUUCACCAUUAGCCAUGGAGAUGACAAUGGAUGAGUAACACUGGGGUCAACUAAUCAUAUUCCUGCUGCCAGCUUCCUGUCUCAGAAAACUUCCAAAAGGUUGUCCUUUCUUCCAGAAAUACAGGAGUAGUCAGAAACAAAAACACAAGCUUUAACCUUUGGAAGUACACAUCAAGGGAGUACAUCUGAACAAAAAUGCAGUGCACUGGAUAGCAUUGGCAAAAAAAAGACUGGGUAAUUCUGCCAUUCUAUCCUCUGCUAUAAAACAAAGCAAAUUACAGUUCUGUGGACUUGUGAAUGACAGUUGUGACUAAAUAUAUCUAUACUGCGGAAAAUGUCUGGGCAAUUUUGAUUAGGAAUCAAAUACUGUUUUAGAAUAUUUUCUAUCUGUUACUGAGAACAAUUGAACAACACCAUAGACACGGAGCCUCAUUUAUAGACAGUGGGUAGGCACAAUUUUGUGCUUAGAUCAUGCAUGCCAACAAACAAAUUUAGAACCUUCUCAGAUAGGCAGACAUAAUGAUUAGUUUGAAUAGAAAACAUCAGACAGAUCUUUUACCCAAGGGGCACGGUGUAUUGAAAUUAUAGUUAUUCAUAAAAACAACAACUCAAAUGCUAACUUAAAUGGGCAAAUUGCAAAUAAGUUGACUAAUAACCGUGAAAUGGACAUCUUUAAUCAUAUUUAUCCUUGUUCUUUUCAAAGACUUGUAAGAGCUGUAUGUGUGCGUCUGCUCCUGGCUUUGCAGACUUAGCAGUUGUCGCUCCACAAACAAAUUACGCGAGUACACUUUGACAGCACAAUCAGAGAAGCCAUCAAACCGCUCACAUUAAUCCAAGGCUUCAGAGUUUUUGUAUCUAUCAAGUUACACUUGCUAGCUACAAACCUCAAACAACAUUUCCGGAAAUUUACUGUUGACAAAUGACUGACAAAAAGAUCAGGAGCAGAUACAACGCAGCUGUCUUGCUUGUGAUGCAACUCUAAUAGCUUAUAUUAUCUGUCGCUUCCAAUACUAAUUUAUCUUCCUAUUAUUAUUUGGUUAAAGCGGGAAAAUAUUCGCUUAUUGUGCCAUGUCUUAUGUUGAGUAAAAUGAAUAAAAAAUAUUUUUAUCUGUUUACAAAGUA